CCUACGGGAGGCAGCAGUGAGGCAUAUUGGUAAAUGGACGAGAGUCUGAACCAGCCAAGUAGCGUGAAGGAUGCCUGACCUAUGGGUUGUACACUUCUUUUAUAUGGGAAUAAAAUGUUCCACGUGUGGGAUUUUGUAUGUAACAUAUGAAUAAGGAUCGGCUAACUCCGUGCCAGCAGCCGCGGUACUACGGAGGAUCCGAGCGUUAUACGGCUUUCUUGGGUUUAAAGGGAGCGUAGGUGGAUUGUUAAGUCAGUUGUGAAAGUUUGCGGCUCAACCGUAAAAUUGCAGUUGAAACUGGCAGUCUUGAGUACAGUAGAGGUGGGCGGAAUUCGUGGUGUAGCGGUGAAAUGCUUAGAUAUCACGAAGAACUCCGAUUGCGAAGGCAGCUCACUGGACUGCAACUGACACUGAGGCUCGAAAGUGUGGGUAUCAAACAGGAUGAGAUACCCCUGUAGUC
rnacentral:rRNA from 1 species